AAACUGGGUCUAAUACCGGAUAUGAGCUCCUGCCGCAUGGUGGGGGUUGGAAAGUUUUUCGGUGCAGGAUGAGUCCGCGGCCUAUCAGCUUGUUGGUGGGGUAAUGGCCUACCAAGGCGACGACGGGUAGCCGGCCUGAGAGGGUGAUCGGCCACACUGGGACUGAGACACGGCCCAGACUCCUACGGGAGGCAGCAGUGGGGAAUAUUGCACAAUGGGCGGAAGCCUGAUGCAGCGACGCCGCGUGGGGGAUGACGGUCUUCGGAUUGUAAACUCCUUUCAGUAGGGACGAAGCGAGAGUGACGGUACCUGCAGAAGAAGCACCGGCCAACUACGUGCCAGCAGCCGCGGUAAUACGUAGGGUGCAAGCGUUGUCCGGAAUUACUGGGCGUAAAGAGCUCGUAGGCGGUUUGUCACGUCGUCUGUGAAAUCCUCCAGCUCAACUGGGGGCGUGCAGGCGAUACGGGCAGACUUGAGUACUACAGGGGAGACUGGAAUUCCUGGUGUAGCGGUGAAAUGCGCAGAUAUCAGGAGGAACACCGGUGGCGAAGGCGGGUCUCUGGGUAGUAACUGACGCUGAGGAGCGAAAGCAUGGGGAGCAAACAGGAUUAGAUACCCUGGUAGUCCAUGCCGUAACCUUUAGGGG
rnacentral:rRNA from 1 species